CUCCAAUCCUUUAACCUUACAGCCAACAACUCACUUAUUAAAGCACCAGCCUGACACUUCAUUCCUUCUCUCAUACACCAACCACCAGAAAGGGAGAUGAAGAGAAGUUAAUUCCUGCUGCCAAAUAUCGAGAGUUGCUUCCCCAUUGAAUUCUAUAGCAACAAGCAGCCAAAAACCAAACAUUCACAAGGUACAUAUUCACUAUCUCAAUUACUCCUCAUGCUACAUGAUUCACCAUCAAGCAUGCUUCAGUGUUAUAGAAUGCGGAGUUCAUAGAUGAGUAAUAUAUGCACAUAUAGACUAAGCAGGGUCACACGUUCUGUAAUACAGCAUAAACCAUGACUUUUACAGUAAGAAUUUUCUUACGACACAAAGCAAAACAACGCCUAGUGUAAUCUCCAGCAUAAGCAUAAGCAAAGUAUGAAAAACCAAGAUUUCAUAAGAUAGAAUGAACUUAGACAAUGCUAGUAACCUGUCGAGCUUUAUCCUUGCCGCGUGUUGCUGUUCAAUCUGGGGUUUGAGGCAGAGCGCGAUGGCUGCGCCUAAGGGCAACACUAAGCGGAACGAGUUCUGUUCCGAUGGGCAGAGUGCAUCGACCGAAGCGUCCGCUCGCUGGAACUCAACGGCUAAGGCAGCAUGCUACCUCAAGUCCGGAGACCCGACGCUGACGACGACUCUCGCCAAUUCACAUAGCAGACGAGGUCCAACGGCGAUCCGUCGCGUUGGACAAGGGCGGCGGCGGCCGCGAUUCCGCCUGAAUCGAGAGAAACUAGGGCUCGAUUCCUGUUCUCGAUUGGACAUGCGUGGAGGAAAAGAAAGCGGCGCCGGAGUUCCAGAGCUGUGGAGGCGCGACCAGUCGCCGGGCUUUGGGAAGUGGCGGAGGCGGACUUU